rnacentral:lncRNA from 1 species
ACCCAUGUCAAAUAUUAGAUUGACAAAUUUCAAUGGUUUUAGAUUGCCAAUCUUAGGAAGAUAGCCUACAAUAAAUUUUAGUAUUUUGUUGCCAAUCUCUAAAAAGUAUGUCAUAGUCUCGUUCUUUGUCAGUUUUAUCUUUCUAAUAUUAAGAAGAUAAUUUACAAACCCAUUCAUAGGCCCUUAUUUGUUGAUAAUUUCUUCUGUUUG